GGGAUCACAAACUGCUAAAUAGAUUUAGACCAAAAACGGGCAACAGCGACUGCAUUGUCUGUAGCUUUAAACAGUUCUUCCUCUGUGCAUGAGGCAGGGCAUUGUGGGCAAGCAUACAGAUGCUGAGUUGUUUGUUCUGCUCCACAGUUGCAGAAGGUGGAGGAUUCCUCUAGAUCUUCCCAGUUCACUACACAGCUCUCAGCAACUUGGGAACAACACUGUGGAUGACACCCAGUUUUCUGCUUGUCCAGAGAAUGAACCUGUGGAGAGCUGUGAAAAUGCCUCCGAUCCCUUCGUAACCUUGGAGAGGAAACUGCAAGAUGAGCUGAACUACCAUACGCGUGGCAGCCGAAUGGACAGGCCAGAGAACUAUUCUGCGACACACAGCGCUGUGGCGUGGAAUGAAAAGAGGAAGAUGAAGGUGUCCAAUGACCCAUUUACAAAGGGGCCCGCUGCCCCUCGGGCACAAGAGGCAAACUCUGGCUCCAGCAUCAGUCCUAGCAAUGCCUUUGGGGGCCCUUAUACCUCUCCUUGGCCAUGGCCAUUAUCACCAGCUGGGCCAGGUCCAGAAAAUGGAAAUGCAACAUUGGAUCGAAAGAGUCCUAAUGACGCAAGCCCUUCAAAUUUCAGUUCAUUCGGCGCCGAAGAUAUGUACAGAUCGCACUCAACCAGUCCUUUUAGUUUCUAUAAACCACCUGUACCAGAAUCAGAAAUAGAUCGAUUUCCUCACGAUGUACCGAAAAGCCUCAGUACUCAAACUGGUGAGUAAACGGGUAUUGUUCUCUUUACCUAAUUUGAUGAGGAAAUGCACACAGUAAUCUUUAAGUAUAUCAAGAGUGAGCAAGCUUCAGACUUAAAUGAUCUACUUUGUUUGUUCAAACUUUGAAAGCCACCAAUUAAAGCUAGGUUUAAAAAAUACAGAAUUAAUGUAUUUGGAGGCCCAUAAUGUGUGUGUGUGUGUGUGUUUUAGCAUUUCCAAAAGUUUAUUUUAUACAAUUCUGCAAAAUUACAAUGUAUGGUUGUACAUGUGCUGUUUGGGACAUUCCACGUUCAUUCGGCAGACUGUUUACAUAUGUCUUCCUAUAUACAUCCUUUUAUAAAAUUAACAUUUAACCAAUUGUUCAUAAUAAACAAACACCCAUGUUACUCAUCCAUCUCUCUGACCACAUAUUUUCUCUCUACUGCUAUCUUUAUCCAUGUACACAAGUUGUCUUAAUUUCCGUUUUAUGAUUGUUUUGGCUUCACCAUUUUAAAAACAUUCCAUAUAUGGAGCCCCCAGUGGCGCAAUGGGUUAAACUUUUGUGCCGGCAGGACUGCUGACCGAAAGGUUGGCAGUUCAAAUCCGGGGAGUGAGGUGAGCUCCCGUCUGUCAGCUCUAGCUCCCCAUGUGGGAACAUGAGAUAAGCCUCCCACAGAAUGGUAAAACAUCGAACAACAUCCUUGCAGACAGCCAAUUCUCUCACACCAGAAAUGAUUUGCAGCUUCUCAAGUUGCUCCUGACACAGAAAAAAAAUCUAUUUCUUGUUUCUUCUAUUUUGCCCUCUUGCGUAUCAUCCCGUUACACUUGUUAUAAUUUGAAAUUGAACCUGAUAAAUAAUUAUUCCAAUUUUUCAUCAUCCAUUUUUUUGUCUUUCCACCCCCAUGCUAUUAUUGCUUGCCUUUCCCGGAUCAUACUUUUGAAAAAUUCUUGCUCUUUUGUAUUGAUUCUGGCAUUGCCUAGCACUCCCAUUAAUAAUAUAUCUAAAUUUUCUUGUAGUGGAACUUAAAUAUUUUUCCAUUGUUUUCGUUAUCUGGUGUGUUGCAUACCAGAACUCAGGGAUCUAGCAGUCUUUUCAC
rnacentral:lncRNA from 11 species